AGGGCUCAGGGGUUACCCGCCCGAACGUACCCGUUCGGUACGGGCGGGGAGCAGCUACCCUUAUAAGGUAGAUGUCGAUGGUUCGAGACCAUCCAGGCCUA
rnacentral:tRNA from 1 species